CGUCAAGGACUAGGCUGUGUCCUAAUGCAAGAGCGCAAAGUGGUUGCUUAUGCCUCUCGGCAAUUGCGCCCUCACGAAGAGAACUACCCAGUUCACGACCUCGAACUUGCUGCUGUCAUUCAUGCGCUAAAACAGUGGCGACAUUACCUACUCGGUAAUCGUUGCGAGAUCUUCACUGACCACCAAAGUCUGAAGUAUCUGUUUACUCAGCCAGACCUGAACCUCCGUCAGCAGAGAUGGAUGGAGACUGUUGCAGACUUUGAUUUGGGUAUUUCCUAUACCCCAGGCAAGGCUAAUGUAAUGGCUGAUGCCUUGAGCCGCAAGUCUUAC
rnacentral:rRNA from 1 species